rnacentral:misc_RNA from 1 species
AAUCACUUCUAACACAACAGUCUGUGUUGCAACAACCUAGUCAAUUUGCACAGCUGCAAGAUCCACAAAGGCAGCUGUUAGAGGCAUCCCAGAGCUUUUCAAGGUCCAUGCGACCCAACCAAUUGUUAGAAAUGCCUCAAACAACACCCAAUUCACUUCCGCAAUCAAAUAUUAUUCAACAGCAGAUGACAAAGAAUGGCAACCAGACUAAUGCUCAGUUCUCCCAUAUGCCACAGCAACUGAAAUUGCAACAACAGCAGCCUGGGAUAUUGUCUGAAAUGCCUGGACAUAUGGGACUUCCCCCUAGCUCAGGUGUCAAUCAUUUCUCUACAGUUGGUAGUAGCAUAUUGACUGCUGCUGCAGGGGCAGGGAUUUCUGGGAUUACCGAGGAGCUUCCAUCUUGUUCAACUUCACCUUCCACAAACAACUGUGCAAAUAUGGUUCAUCGGGUACACCAAAGCACAGCUAUAGGAGAUGACAUGGCUCAGUCUGCUGCUACACUCUUGAGUUCCAAUGCCUUAGAAACAAUGUCAUGUAGUACUAACUUGGUUAAAGAUGUGCAACAGAAAUCUGAUGUUAAGCCUUCAAUGAACAUUGCCAAGAAUCAAAACCAAGGAUUCUUUGCCCCGCAAACAUACCAAAAUGGUGCAACUGCCCAGACAGAUUAUUUGGAUACUUCUUCUUCUACAACUUCAGUUUGUGUUUCUCAGAAUGAUGUUCAUUUGCAGCAGAAUAACAAUUCGUCUUCUUAUAAUCCACAUUCACUGUUGUUGAGGGACAUAAGUCAAGAUGGGGAACUCCAGGCAAAUCCCAGGAAUAAUGUUCCAUAUGGAGCUAACAUUGAUGGCCAACUGGGAGUUCUAAUGAAUUCUGACCAAGUGUUGACAAAAAGCAUCAUAGGUCUGGGGAAGGAUCUCCCAAAUAAUCUUUCUUCAGCGGGUAUGAUUUCUAACUGUGAAAAUUCAAAAGAUCCUCAACAUGAGCUUUCAUCUUCAAUGGUUUCCCGGUCAUUUGGAGUUCCAGAUAUGGCAUUCAAUUCAAUUGAUUCCACAAUCAAUGAUAGUAGCUUCUUGAACAGAGGUCCUUGGGCCCCUCCCCCACAAUUUCAGCGGAUGCGUACAUAUACAAAGGUGUACAAACGCGGAGCUGUGGGGAGGUCUAUUGAUAUAACCCGCUAUUCUGGUUAUGAUGAGCUUAAGCAAGAUCUGGCCCGGAGGUUUGGUAUAGAGGGACAGUUAGAAGACCGACACAGGAUAGGCUGGAAACUUGUUUAUGUGGAUCAUGAGAAUGAUGUUUUGUUAGUAGGGGAUGACCCAUGGGAAGAGUUUGUGAACUGUGUUCGCUGCAUUAAGAUCUUGUCCCCGCAAGAAGUACAGCAAAUGAGCUUGGAUGGAGAUUUUGGGAACUCUGUCCAUCCAAAUCAAGCAUGUAGCAGCUCUGAUAAUGGCAAUGCAUAAAGUAGUCGACCAAAAUGCUAACAAAUUCUUCCACGUUGGGAACCUUAUAUUAUUUGUGGAUUCUGUUCAUAGCUUUCUGUAUGUUGUUUAUUCUGCUUUAUCUGGGUUUUCAAGGUUUUCCUAGCUUGCAAAAGUGGCAGGCAAACCAAGAAUUUUCCAGCAACCUCGUAAAAAUUGAAGUUGUUCUAUGGCACUCAGAGCUCUAUUUCAAUUUGUUCCAGCUCUAAAUUGUAUAACACAGAUCAAAAGCAGAAAGAUCACCAAUCAAUGAUGCAUAACUGGUUCAAGGCUCUUUUAGAGUUUCCCUCGGGCUUGAUGAGGAAUCCAGCUUGGUUUGUGCCUUUAAACUAGUUAAGAUAUUUGAUGCUGUUGUGAUGUUUAUUAAUCAACUUCUUUCAUGUUUUUACUAGCUGAGAAAUCUCCUUUUGGAGGCAUUGUAGAAAGCAAAAACAAGAAAUUAUAUGGCCU